rnacentral:misc_RNA from 1 species
GUGAUUAUAUUUUUAGCCUGUCUGCACAAGCCAAACAUUUAAAAUAACUAAUUUUUGGGUUGUAACAAAGGAGCAUAGACAGGAAAAUGAAGGGACUCCAAAUUCCUGUCUACAAAGGGUGCACAGGGACAAAAUUCAAAAGGAGGGAGUACAGGAGUGCACAAUGCGAAAAGACAUGAUCUUUCGCCAGCACAUCCCUUUCCCGUGAAUCGAUAAUGAUCCUUCCGCAGGUUCACCUACGGAAA